rnacentral:tRNA from 1 species
CGCAGGGUGGAGCAGCUUGGUAGCUCGUCGGGCUCAUAACCCGAAGGUCGUCGGUUCAAAUCCGGCCCCCGCAACCA